AUGACAUCCAAAACAUCCAACAUGCUUUCUUCUCCUAACUCAAGUCUACAAUGGACAACCAAGAAGAACAAACUGUUUGAAAAUGCAUUGGCAAUAUAUGACAAGGAAACUUCUGACCGUUGGUACAAUAUAGCCAUGUUUGUCGGAGGGACAACAACUGAAGUGGAAAUCAAGAAGCAAUAUGAGAUACUUCAAGAAGACAUAAAAAAUAUCGAGUCAGGCAAAGUUCCCCUGCCUGCUUACUUGAUGUAG